AGAGUUUGAUCCUGGCUCAGGAUGAACGCUAGCUACAGGCUUAACACAUGCAAGUCGAGGGGCAGCAUGAACUUAGCUUGCUAAGUUUGAUGGCGACCGGCGCACGGGUGAGUAACGCGUAUCCAACCUUCCGUACACUCAGGAAUAGCCUUUCGAAAGAAAGAUUAAUACCUGAUGGUAUGAUGAGAUUGCAUGAUAGCAUCAUUAAAGAUUCAUCGGUGUACGAUGGGGAUGCGUUCCAUUAGAUAGUAGGCGGGGUAACGGCCCACCUAGUCGACGAUGGAUAGGGGUUCUGAGAGGAAGGUCCCCCACAUUGGAACUGAGACACGGUCCAAACUCCUACGGGAGGCAGCAGUGAGGAAUAUUGGUCAAUGGGCGCGAGCCUGAACCAGCCAAGUAGCGUGAAGGAUGAAGGUCCUACGGAUUGUAAACUUCUUUUAUAAGGGAAUAAAGUCACCCACGUGUGGGUGUUUGUAUGUACCUUAUGAAUAAGCAUCGGCUAACUCCGUGCCAGCAGCCGCGGUAAUACGGAGGAUGCGAGCGUUAUCCGGAUUUAUUGGGUUUAAAGGGAGCGUAGACGGGUCGUUAAGUCAGCUGUGAAAGUUUGAGGCUCAACCUUAAAAUUGCAGUUGAUACUGGCGUCCUUGAGUACGGUUGAGGCAGGCGGAAUUCGUGGUGUAGCGGUGAAAUGCUUAGAUAUCACGAAGAACCCCGAUUGCGAAGGCAGCCUGCUAAACCGCGACUGACGUUGAGGCUCGAAAGUGUGGGUAUCAAACAGGAUUAGAUACCCUGGUAGUCCACACGGUAAACGAUGGAUACUCGCUGUUGGCGAUAGACUGUCAGCGGCUUAGCGAAAGCGUUAAGUAUCCCACCUGGGGAGUACGCCGGCAACGGUGAAACUCAAAGGAAUUGACGGGGGC
rnacentral:rRNA from 1 species